rnacentral:rRNA from 1 species
CCUACGGGCGGCAGCAGUGGGGAAUUUUGGACAAUGGGCGCAAGCCUGAUCCAGCUAUUCCGCGUGUGGGAAGACGGCCUUCGGGUUGUAAACCACUUUUGUAGAGAACGAAAAGUCUAUUGAUACUACCGAUAGAUGAUGACGGUACUCUAAGAAUAAGCACCGGCUAACUACGUGCCAGCAGCCGCGGUAAUACGUAGGGUGCGAGCGUUAAUCGGAAUUACUGGGCGUAAAGGAUGUGCAGGCGGUUUUGCAAGAUGCAUUGGAAAGCCCCGGGCUUAACCUGGGAAGGCAAUACAUGACUGCAAGACUAGAGUGCGUCAGAGGGGGGUGGAAUUCCAAGUGUAGCAGUGAAAUGCGUAGAUAUUUGGAAGAACACCGAUGGCGAAGGCAGCCCCCUGGAACGCAACUGACGCUCAUACACGAAAGCGUGGGGAGCAAACAGGAUUAGAUACCCCAGUAGUC